GACGAACGCUGGCGGCGUGCUUAACACAUGCAAGUCGAACGGAAAGGCCUCUUUCGGGGGGUACUCGAGUGGCGAACGGGUGAGUAACACGUGAGUAACCUGCCCUUGACUUUGGGAUAACUUCAGGAAACUGGGGCUAAUACCGGCUAGGAGCUCCUGCUGCAUGGUGGGGGUUGGAAAGUUUCGGCGGUUGGGGAUGGACUCGCGGCUUAUCAGCUUGUUGGUGGGGUAGUGGCUUACCAAGGCUUUGACGGGUAGCCGGCCGGAGAGGGUGACCGGCCACAUUGGGACUGAGAUACGGCCCAGACUCCUACGGGAGGCAGCAGUGGGGAAUAUUGCACAAGGGGUGGAAGCCUGAUGCAGCAACGCCGUGUGCGGGAUGACGGCCUUCGGGUUGUAAACCGAUUUCGCUCAUGACGAAGCUUUGUGUGACGGUAGUGGGUAAAGAAGCACCGGCUAACUACGUG
rnacentral:rRNA from 1 species